rnacentral:rRNA from 1 species
AGUGAACGCUGGCGGUAGGCCUAACACAUGCAAGUCGAACGGCAGCACAGUAAGAGCUUGCUCUUACGGGUGGCGAGUGGCGGACGGGUGAGGAAUACAUCGGAAUCUACUUUUUCGUGGGGGAUAACGUAGGGAAACUUACGCUAAUACCGCAUACGACCUACGGGUGAAAGCAGUGGAUCUUCGGACCUUGCGCGAUUGAAUGAGCCGAUGUCGGAUUAGCUAGUUGGCGGGGUAAAGGCCCACCCAGGCGACGAUCCGUAGCUGGUCUGAGAGGAUGAUCAGCCACACUGGAACUGAGACACGGUCCAGACUCCUACGGGAGGCAGCAGUGGGGAAUAUUGGACAAUGGGCGCAAGCCUGAUCCAGCCAUACCGCGUGGGUGAAGAAGGCCUUCGGGUUGUAAAGCCCUUUUGUUGGGAAAGAAAAGCAGCAGGUUAAUACCCCGCUGUUCUGACGGUACCCAAAGAAUAAGCACCGGCUAACUUCGUG